rnacentral:lncRNA from 1 species
GAGGAACACCUAAACAACCCACCAAAUUCGUCGCUGCACACAGAGGCCUCUCCCAUACACACCCAAAAUCAGAUGAGCCAAAAAACCUGUCCAUCUUCUCCAAGAUAAAAAAAGAGUUUUCAAUUCCUAAUUGCAAACUUUUUUUCUAAUUCUCAAGUUUAGAAGAAGCAGCGGCACAUACACAAAGAGAAAGCAUCAAUCGUCCAAAUCCGUUACUCUUUUAGCCAUUGAUACCACCUAAAAACCCACCAUUUUGGUUCAAAACUGCAGCUGAAAUCCACCAUCUUAAAACACCCGAAAACAUCCCAAUUUUAGCUUAAAAAUAGUCUGAAAAUGGACAUUAAAACUCAGCAAGAAACACCGAUAAAAUAGUCCCACAACGUUCAAAAGCAACAACUAAAAAUGUUACCAGUUUUGCUGAAGAAACAGCUCAAGAAUUCUUCAUGAAUCCCGGUGAAUUUCU